GACAUGAAACUCCAUGAUUCAAAGCCUGU
rnacentral:piRNA from 1 species